GCGGGUGUGGUUCAAUGGUAGAACUUCAGCCUUCCAAGCUGAUAACGCGGGUUCGAUUCCCGUCACCCGCUCCA
rnacentral:tRNA from 3 species